UUUACCCUAAGAAAAACUAUUUCAGACUGGAUCUGGAAUAUCAUUUCCAGGAUUUCAGACUUCUAAGACAUAAAGGCGAAACUUAAGAACUAAACGAAACCUUAGAGCAAUUUCUUCUUUGCUAAUUUCUUCUUUGCUUUUCAACAUGUAUCCCCUGCACUUUCUAUCUUUCUUUUACUGUCUGUGACUGUCAUUUUAUUCAGUAAAGGAAGUUGUAUACUCCUUGCUUUGUUCUUCAUUCCAAUUGUAGGUUCUGAUUACUACUUAUAAUCUAGGUGAAAGAAAUUAGCAACUUUUAUACACUAGAUGUUACUCGUUGGACAGCUGAAGCCUUGGUGGCACUUCAGGAGGCUGCAGAGGAUUAUCUGGUUCAGUUGUUUGAGGAUGCAAUGCUAUGUGCAAUCCAUGCAAAGCGCGUAACACUUAUGAAAAAAGAUUGGGAAUUGGCACGACGUCUUGGAGGAAAGGGCCAACCUUGGUGAGAAGCAUCCCAUUUGCAAUGCUGCCCAAUGUUUAAUGGCCAAUUACCGGAUUAUUCAUUUGCCUGUAUCAGAGGCUUUAGAAGCUUUGUUGUCACUGUUGUGCAGAUUGUAAGUUAUGACUUUUUUUUUUUUGUAUUUAGAUACACUUCUUCAGCUGUAGGUAAUCUGAAAAUUGGGUAGCCAAGUAUAGAAUGAAAAUUGUCAUCUGUGGAUUCUUAUACCUUCGGUGAAGACGGCUUUGUAGCUUAUGUUGCUGAUACAUACCAUACAAAAUUGUCAC